UAAAGCAAAUUGUCUCUACCAAACUAAUACUAGCCAAGAACGUCUCUCACUCUCUCCCCUUAGUUUUAAGAAAUCUGAAGGUUUACUACAAAGAGAUUAAAGAGGAGAAAUUGAGAGCUUUGCAGCCAAUGUAAUUCCAUAUUCUCUCCUAGAUCGUAAGUGAUUUUAUCUUUAUUUGAAGAGUGAAAAAUUUAAGGACAAUCCUAUUCUUGGAUGUUAGAGACAAGUUCUCUUCUUGGAAAUUGAAGAAAAGGGGGCUGAAAAUUUCUCUCUAAUUAAGGCUUGCUGCUCGUUAUGUAUCUAUCUCCUUUUUGGUUGUUGUAAAGACCGAUGAUUGAUAGGAGACCUCAUGAGAAGGUCAUAUGUUAUGUACACAUGGCGAGAAGGGAAUGUAUGAAAAGGUCACCCUUUAAUAUUGGGGUUAUGAGUUUGCUGCCCGGCUACUAUUCUGAGACGGACGACACUUGCAAUCAUCGUAUUCAUGGCUAGUGAUUGCCCUAGAUUUCUCAAGAAGGGACCGGUGUUCCUAUUCAUUCUCCUCCAUGUGGCUAGUUGGGAUCAUUGAAGGCUACUAUUUGAUCAUAGUACGGGUUCUGGCCAUUGAUUUGGAUUGAUGUAGAGCAGCUUCUGAUUCGGAGAUUUGGUGAGUUCCUGGCGGUGUCGGAGUUGCCGAUUUCCAUCCAUGUUGGAAUAGGACUAGUCUUUACUUUUUUUUGAAGAUUUUCUGUACUCAUAUUGUACUUGUAAAAGCCUUGUAUUUGUAUUUAUUUUAGAUGCUCGAUUACU